AGCUACAGGCUUAACACAUGCAAGUCGAGGGGCAUCAGGAAGAAAGCUCGCUUUCUUUGCUGGCGACCGGCGCACGGGUGAGUAACACGUAUCCAACCUGCCCUUUACUCGGGGAUAGCCUUUCGAAAGAAAGAUUAAUACCCGAUGGCAUAAUGAUUCCGCAUGGUUUCAUUAUUAAAGGAUUCCGGUAAAGGAUGGGGAUGCGUUCCGUUAGGUUGUUGGUGAGGUAACGGCUCACCAAGCCUUCGAUGGAUAGGGGUUCUGAGAGGAAGGUCCCCCACAUUGGAACUGAGACACGGUCCAAACUCCUACGGGAGGCAGCAGUGAGGAAUAUUGGUCAAUGGGCGCUAGCCUGAACCAGCCAAGUAGCGUGAAGGAUGAAGGCUCUAUGGGUCGUAAACUUCUUUUAUAUAAGAAUAAAGUGCAGUAUGUAUACUGUUUUGUAUGUAUUAUAUGAAUAAGGAUCGGCUAACUC
rnacentral:rRNA from 1 species